GGUAAUUCCAGCUCCAAUAGCGUAUAUUAAAGUUGUUGCAGUUAAAAAGCUCGUAGUUGAAUUUCGGGGUCAGUAGGUCGGUCGUGCCACUGGUAUGAACUGGUUUUACUGAUUCCUCCCUCUUGAAGAACUGUAAUGCCAUUAAUUUGGUGUUGCAGGGAAUCAGGACUGUUACUUUGAAAAAAUUAGAGUGUUUAAAGCAGGCUUUAGCUUGAAUACAUUAGCAUGGAAUAAUGAAAUAGGACGUUUGAUCCUAUUUUGUUGGUUUCUAGGAUUGACGUAAUGAUUAAUAGGGAUAGUUGGGGGCAUUAGUAUUCAAUUGUCAGAGGUGAAAUUCUUGGAUUUAUUGAAGACUAACUACUGCGAAAGCAUUUGCCAAGGAUGUUUUCAUUAAUCAAGAACGAAAGUUAGGGGAUCGAAGACGAUCAGAUACCGUCGUAGUCUUAACCAUAAACUAUGCCGACUAGGGAUCGGAUGAUGUUAAUUUUUUAA
rnacentral:rRNA from 1 species